AUUCCUUGCUAAGAAAAUCAGAAUGAACACUGCAGGCAAGGGCAGAAGAAUCCCACCAUCUUUUGUAUCUUAAAUAACGUUCAGCAUUGUCAAAGAUGGACUUGAAAAUCACAAUGGAGUUUCUUUCCUCUCCCCCACCCCAUAUUUGACCCUGUAGUCCGGUGAACGUGAGUGUUACUGGAGCAGCCCUAAAAGCAGGAGUUCAGGACUUUCUCCUCUGGUGACCACUUAAGGGCUACUUUAAUAGGUGGAAGAUAAAGGGUUAAACCAGGGACAUUUCAGUGGCAAAACAGAAGCAGGGACAGAUGGGAAGAUUUCAGGGAUAGCGUGGGAAAUGUUAUUCCGUGCCACUUGCGCUCUAUUAUGUCAUCUCAAAUAGUACUUGAUAGGUGAGGCUUUCUCUGACCCACCCUGGCAAAUGGUACAUGUGGGGGCUGCUUCCUAAGCUACGGAAAGCACAUGUUCGUGUGCCUGUUGGACUGCCAGCCUUGGUAUCUUCUCAUCUCUGUUCCGUUAGCCUUCCGAUGACCCACAGAAGGGUGUGCUGGAGGGUUACUGAAUCCACUCAUAGGUGACUGGAUUACAGGCCAUCUGGCAGUAAAAGCACUACCACCGAAAGCUCAAUGAUAGCAAGAUACUACACGGAUUACCAUUCGACCUAACCUUUCAUAGCACUUAAAAAUUUUUACUUUUUAAAUGAAGCCGGCAAGCUCUCCAUCCCACAAGUAUCCACGGAGGCUAUGUGCAAGGGAGUGUUCUAAGAAUUAGCCUGGGGUAUGUUAAGUAUCCUUUCCAGAUCAGUUUGAACGCGACAGCGAACCCAAUUCCGGUCUCUAAAUCCCAAUUGCGGGCCAAGGCGCCGGAACCAAAGCGUUGCCGCUUCAUUUCCGGGCGGAGGCGCCAGUUUGUGGCGAGGGAUCGAUUGCUUUUGCCUGGCGGGGGUCUGUCCGGAGAGGACGGCGAGCUCGGCGACCGCGGGCCAGCCUGGCGGUGUACGGCGUCGUCGUCGCGGGGGAGCCCGAGCUGCUGAGAUCCGGGAGGCGCGCUGGGCCCGCGUCGGACGGCUCGGUCGUGUUUGCACACGCGCUGGUGCGAGGCCCCUUGUUGGUGAUGGAGGUGGCGAGCAACAACAACAAAAAGGAGUUCUUUAUGGCGAAGUCAGAGCAUCCUAGGCCUCUUGAGAGUUACUCCUUCCUUUUUGGAAUGAAUGCCCUAUGGGCAGGAUGGCUGAAAACCAGAGGAUAGUCCCUGCAGAGUCCUGUGCUUCUGAAGAAACACUCUUAUUAUGAAAGUUGUAUCGAAGCAGGCUUUCAUUCAGUUUCCUGUGCAGCCUGUUCUCUGAUGAAUUCACCACAGAGCCAGUUCCACUAUCACUGGGUCCAUCAUAUUAAAACAGCACUUCAGAGCUGGGCGAGGCAAUGAAGAGAAAGAGGAGAGAGAAGAAUGAACAGAAAGGAGACAGGAAGGAAUGGAGGUAGAAACAACCCAUGACAACUUUGGAUUAAAGAUGAAGGCCAUACAAUAUGGAAGUAACCUGGGUCCCUGAAUCCCAUUUGGAAGAGAGCUGCUUGAACUGGAAGGUACUAUGCUGAGUGAACGUCACAGAGGAAGAUGCUAUUACAACAGCUGGUGCUGUUCGCCAUCUUCAGAAGGAGCAAACCUUCCAAGAGCUGUUUUUCUUUACAUCAAGAAGUGCAUUUCUCACUGGUGAGCGAAUAAUCAAUAGAUCAGGACCAGAAGUUUUGUGAUGAUUUCUCCGGGAAGAGACUGCCCAGGGUGCUUGCGGCCUGUUCUGCCUGUCUCCCUGCUGCUCCUGGCUCUCUGCAGAAUUUAGCAGAUUAAUCACCGUGCUCCAGCCCAGACUGUUAUUUUUAGCUCUGUUGACUUCUCAACUGUCUGCAAACAACCAUGCACUAGACAAAGUACCUUGCAGGUGGGCAAGAGAGCCCCGCGAAGGGAAACAGCCCUGCUUUGGGAAGAGGAGUACUCACCCCACCGUGAAGAAUGGCAGGGUAUCUCAGGUGGGAGGUCUUUGGAGAAGAUGAGACCAAGCUGAAGGCCCCAGGGACUCCGGGCUGCCUGGCUUCCCGCGCCACCUCGUGCCCCUUUCCCCCAUCACUGACUGGGCUCUGGCCUGGGUGGCCUCUCCUCAUUCCUCCAACCCACACCAGCCUCUCUGGGCCACUGAUUUGAAGUCGCUGCUCUUCCGAGAGCCCUGCCCUGAGGAGUCCAUCUAAAUUGCUGCGGGCACGGCCCCCCCACAGCCACUCUCCGGUCUUUCCCCGGCUUGAGUUGUCUUCAUACCGCCUGUCUUCCUCUGAAGUUUUAUAAAAACGCGCCCUAUUUCGCUUGUUGCUUAUCUCCUCCGCUCUGGCAGGAGGGAAGCUCCCGGAAAGAAGGAAACCCGUCCUGUUGACCGGUGGUUAGUCUUCACGUGGAUCACUGCCGGGUAUAGCUGGCUUGCGGUAAACAGUUGGGCCAUCAGUGAACGAACGGACAAGUCAUCGCCCUCCCCCGCGCCGUGAAGGUGAUUUUGUGGCAGCUGGACUGCGCCUCACUCAGGUGCCGUAACUCCCUUAUUUGAGUCCAGUGUCACUGCCUUUCCCUUUGGUCGCCCUCGCCCGCCUCCAUGAUCACUGCCCAGCAGCACUGCCUCCCGCUCGCGUCACUCGCUGUCACUUUGUCUAGGUCAUUUCCUUCAACCUUUCCUCUGGGGAGUGCCCUUAGAGCCUCAGCCUUUUUCUGGGCAUCUCCACUGUGCUGUUUUAAUUAAAAAAAAAAAAAAAAAUGUUUUUGGCCAGCUUUAUUGAGGUGGAAAUGGCAAACGGAAGUUGUAUAAGUUUAGGUUAUACAGUGUGAUUUUUUUGAAGGUGUACAAUGUGAUGACUUCAUAUAUGUAUACAUUUUUCAGUGCGAGAACACUUAAGAUCUACUCUCGGCAGAUUUCAAGCAUACACUAUAGUUUUAUUUACUGUAGUCACCCUGCUGUACCUUAGGUCCCCCCAAUUUAUUCUUCUUAUAACUGAAUUUGUUCCCUUUAACCAACAUUUCCCCGUAUCUCCCAAGCCCGCAGCUACCGCUGUUCUACUGCCUGGUCCUGUGAGUCCAACUCUUUCAGAUUCUACACGUAAGUGAGACCAUACAGUAUCUGCCUUUGUGUCUGGCUUAUUUCCACUUAGCAUAAUGCCCUCCAGGUUCCUCUAUGUUGUGGCAAAUGGCAGGAUUUCCUUCCCUUUCACUCUUUAUCAUAAUAGAAACACCUUCUUUCCCAUCUGGACCUAGCCUCUGAAUGUCAGAGACUGUAACUAGUGUCCAAGGGCAGUGACCCAGAAAAGCCCACAAUAGCAUCCUUGUUACUGCAGAAGCUCCCGUGAGGCCUAGUUCAUCCCUGACACUCAAUGUGACAACUUCCUCGCCUCUAACAAAAUGGAACAGGUAGUCCUGAAUUAAACCCUCUUACCAACUGUGGACGUUUGCUACCAUCUCAUGCUCCUGAAGUUACAGACAUGAUGAGGAAAGUCAAACGUGUCACGGACAGUUGGACAGAAGUGACAGAAAGGUCUUGCCUUCUUGAUGACCUUGCUGAGCUGCUAAAUUGCCCUGAGAUCACUUUCUUUUGGACUUCUUGUAGUUUAAACUGCUGUGGGGCGGGCACUCUGUUACUUACAGAGGAAGAAAUCCUAACAGGGUGUGGGAUUGAGCAAGAAUUUCUUUAAGGAUGGGAGAUAUUUGUACAUAUAAAGCCCUUUAUUUUUUUUUGUUCCAUAAUAAUAAUAAUGUUAUUACUAUUA